UAUUUUUACUUUAAAAUAGAGCUUAUUGACUGCAUGAAGAGAAAGAAUUAGGGAAAGGGGAUAAAAAAGAAAACACAACAGAGUGUCUUUUAGGGAUAAAGAAGACAUCCCAUGUCUACUCUACUCACUCAAACACUUCCACUACCCAGACAAUCAAUCCAAUCAUCUCAUCAAGAUGGGACCUUCACAGAUCAAUGGGCUGAAUACCUUUGAAUGACUGAUUCAGAAAUGUUUUCCACAACAGGUUGGUUGGUACCAGUCUCAUGGAACUGUUUGGAGGAACUAAGAGUUUCAAGUCAUUUGCCCAGUUGCAAAACAAGUAAGAAUCUGAACUUAAACUCUGGUCUUUCUGAAGCCAGCUCUUGAUCCACUAUAUAAAGCUGCCUCUUGGUACUUGGCAGAAAAGCUUCCCUUAAGGAAUAGAUUCCUCUAAGAAUCAGGUAAAAAAGUCACAUUAAUGUGGUCUAAAACUUCUUAAACUGUGGGUCGUGUCUUGAGUCUUUUAGCUGAAUGUGGGGGAAUUUCAAUAUUAUGACAGAUUAUCAAUAAAUGUUUAAUUUGUAUACCUGUCUCAUAUACCUAUAUACCGGGGGUUAUGUGAAAAUUUCUGGGACAAAAAGGAAUCAUGAAUGGAAAACUCUUAAGAAGCCCUGGUCUAAAACUUCCCUAUAAGACACAUAGGAGCUUUU